CCCUUAGAUGUUCUGGGCCGCACGCGCGCUACACUGACGAUGGCAACGAGUUUUUCCUUCGCCGAAAGGUGUGGGUAAUCUGUUGAAACAUCGUCGUGCUGGGGAUAGAUCAUUGCAAUUUUUGAUCUUGAACGAGGAAUUCCUAGUAAGCGCGAGUCAUCAGCUCGCGUUGAUUACGUCCCUGCCCUUUGUACACACCGCCCGUCGCUACUACCGAUUGAAUGGUUUAGUGAGGACUCCUGAUUGGCGCCGCCGCCCCGGCAACGGAGCAGCGGACUGCCGAAAAGUUGUUCAAACUUGAUCAUUUAGAGGAAGUAAAAGUCGUAACA
rnacentral:rRNA from 1 species